UCACGCCCUCAACAUCUCAGCCUCUCUGCGCCUCUCUACCUCACUCGUCACUUCCCAUUUUCUUUCCUUUUCACUAACAUAUCCUUCAGUCCCAUCCUAUAUUCCUUUAAGACCAUUUUCUGACAAGUACUCAAAAUUAUACAAGUCUGCCAUAAAAAGUUACUCAAUUCUCCGUUUUCUGUGAAUCAAGAAGACAACGAGUGACGUCACAUUUCACCACGUGAGAGGCGGACAUCAAAACAUCCACAGUAACCAUGCAAUUGUGGAUGGCGGUGGUGGUGGUGGUGGUGGUGGUGGUAUCAAAGGCCAGGAGUAUUGAGGGAGAGAUCGCAGGAAUGGCCCCUUCCAGCCCCUCUCGCCCUGAAGGAAGCGCUCUAAAGGAUCUGAAGGAUGUUGAAGAAAGCAAGGAGGAAGGAAGGCUGUUUGGAUUCACUGGAAUAGGCGGAUAUGGUGGUGGUGGUGGUGGUGGUGGUUAUGGUGGUGGAAGAGUAAGCAAAUCAACUAAAGUAUACAGCUCCCUGGCAGUCACCGCCUUCUCCUCCUUCGUCGCCUACUCCAUCUACUACUACGUGACAAGCGGGGAGGACGCCAGAAGUCUCAUAACAUCUAUAUUUCAAGAUCCGAUAGCGAUUCAGAACCUGUUAAAGGGAGUUGAAUCCGCUAUACAAAGGUUCUCAGAGUUGCAAAAGGGAUCAAGGCAAUGGGAAUAGUGUUAUAGAUAAAAGGAAAGGUUUAGUGGCAUUUUCUUAGGAUUUAGAUGUUUAUUAUGUUGUUUUGUUGUUAUUUGUUGUAGGUUGUAGAGGUUGUGUUGUUGUUAUUGUUGUUUUUGUUGUUUUUGUUGUUUUGUUUUCAUUUCGUUUGUGGUUAGAUAGUUUGUUGUUGAUAGUAGUAGUAGUAGUUAUCGUUGUUGUUGUUGUUGUUAUUGUUGUUGUUGUUGUUGUUGUUGUUGUUAUAGCUAAAUCCUAUACAGGUUUUCGUUCUUUUAUCACGUAUACGUAAUAUUGUUCGUUCAAAGCAAUGUAUUCAAUAGAAAACGAAAGAAACAAUAAAAAGAAAAUAGCUAA